rnacentral:rRNA from 1 species
AUGGUGAAAACCUUCAAUGGUGUGCAUCAUUGUAGCAAGAAGUGGCAAGUGAGGGCAUUUACUGCCAAGUACAUUGCUGACAAGUAUGUGGAGAAAAUAAGAGCUAAUGAGAAGAUAACCUUGAAGGGAUUGGCAGCACUUGUGCAAGAAGAUUGUAACAUGACAAUUAAAAGGGGGAAACUAGGGAGGGCCAGAGGACUAGCUUUCAAUAUUAUAUAUGGUGAUGAAAUAGCACAGUGCAACAAGUUGUGGGACUAUGCAAAUGAGCUAAGGAGAUCCAAUUCAGGAAGUACAUUUUAUUUAGACCUUGAUGAAGAUGGUAAGUUUGAGAAAUGCUACUUUUCCUUUGAUGCUUGCAAGAGGGGCUUCCUAUCAGCUUGUAGGCCUAUUCUUUUCCUCGAUGGUUGUCAUUUGAAGACACAAUACGGAGGCAUCCUACUUAGUGCAGUAGGAAUGGAUCCCAACGAUUGCAUAAUUCCUAUUGCACAUGCGGUGGUUCAGAGAGAAGAUACAAAGGCUUGGAAGUGGUUCUUGACAGCUUUAAAGAAAGAUCUUGGUAUUGUGAGAAGUGCUCUUUGGACUAUCAUGUCCGACAAGCAAAAAGGUCUAAUAAAGGCAGUGGGAGAAUUGUUCAAUGGUUCCCCACAUAGAUUUUGUGUCAGACAUCUUUGGCAGAAUUUCAACAAAAAUUUUAAAGGUGAGGCCCUCAAAAACCAACUCUCGAAAUGUGCUAGAAGUAGUACUGAAGGGAAAUUUAGACAGAAUAUGAAUGAAAUGUUGGUUCUAAACAAAGAGGCACAUGAUUGGCUAGAGGAGUUGGACCCUCCAACAUGGGUUAGGGCAUUUCAAAAUGAAUUUCCUAAGUGUGAUGUCUUGUUGAACAAUAACUGUGAGGUGUUCAACAAGUACAUAUUGGAUGCAAGAGAAAUGCCCAUAAUCAGCAUGUGCCAAAGGAUUAAAGGACAGUUGAUGGGAAGAAAUCAUAGCAAGCUACAAGAGGCCUUGAAGUGGCCCGGUACUAUAUGUCCAAAAAUAAGGAAGAAAUUGGACAAAAAUGUGGAAUUUGCUAGAACUUGCUAUGCUUCACCAGCUGGAUUGGGAAUUUUUAAUGUGAACGAUAGAGGCGUAGACUACGGGGUUGAUUACCAGUUGAGGAAGUGCAGCUGUAGGAGAUGGGAUUUGUCUGGCAUUCCAUGCAGCCAUGGAGUAGCUGCUCUUAGAUAUGACAACAUCAAUCCAGAGGAUUACGUCAACUCAUGCUAUUCUAUUGCAACAUAUUGCAAGGCAUAUGAAAACAUUAUUAUGCCAUGCAAAGAUAUUAGUGAGUGGAGUAAAGGAAGAAGGAGGAAGAACAGGAGAAAACAACCAGAAGAGAAACAGGGGAAAAAAGGAGUAAAAAUUACAAGGGCAGGAGCAAUAAUCCAUUGCGGUUAUUGUGGAGUUGCUGGCCAUAACAUUGGUGGGUGCAUGGACUUCAAGUUAGGGUUAAAACCAAAGAAAAAGUCUGAAAGGGUUAGAGUCAGGGCAGAGCCUGACGUUUCCUCCUCAGAUGAGGAAGAAGCACCUAUAACCCAGGAACAGAAUCAGCGGACAGAAGGUUUAAUUCAAGAGCCACUAUGUGUGUAUCAACCUGAGAUAAUUACUAUUUUAACACAGGAGAGAGAAGCAAGCCAGAGGGAAGAAAGCCAGAGGGAAGCAGUUCGUCAAGGUCCAUUACCAAAUUCCGUUUUCAUAGAGGAGCACAUCAUGUCUCAGCCACCGGUUGUCCCUACUACUGCAACGAAGGAGGGCAACGUUCACAGGAAAAGAGAGAUUCUAGCACUGGCAAAGUUAAGAGCUGCAGCUGAGAAAAGAGAAGUUGCAGACCAAGCAAAGUUUGAAGCAGCUAUGGCAAAGUUGAAAGGAGAAGAGGACAAAAUUAAGCUUGCCGCUCAAAAGAGAAAGGAAGAGUUGGAAGCUAAGAAACAAGCAACUGAGGAAAAGAAAAAAGUUAUACUAGAGGAGAAGAGACUUGCUGCAGAAGAAAAGAGAAGAGCUAUUGAGGAAAAAAAGAGAAAGGCCCAAGAGGAGAAACUUCAAAUGGCAGAGAAGAAAAGGCAAAUGAUGGAUGAGAGAAAAAGAAAUGCCGAUUUAGCAAAACAAAAAAAUGCCGAAGAGAAGAGAAGGAUUGCACAGGAGAAAAAAUGCUUGCAAAUACAUCACACCAGCAGGAGGAGGCAGCUUUUCUAA